rnacentral:rRNA from 1 species
GAGUAAUGGCUCACCAAGGCGACCGAUCCGUAACUGGUCUGAGAGGAUGAUCAGUCACACUGGAACUGAGACACGGUCCAGACUCCUACGGAGGGCAGCAGUGGGGAAUAUUGGACAAUGGGCGAAAGCCUGAUCCAGCCAUGCCGCGUGUGUGAAGAAGGUCUUCGGAUUGUAAAGCACUUUAAGUUAGGAGGAAGGGCAUUAACCUAAUACGUUAGUGUUUUGACGUUACCGACAGAAUAAGCACCGGCUAACUCUGUGCCAGCAGCCGCGGUAAUACAGAGGGUGCAAGCGUUAAUCGGAAUUCUAGGGCGUAAA